AGAGGCGUAGGAAAACAAACUAAACUCUCCUGUUCUACCAUCUCUGUGCUAGUCAGAUAAAGGACAAGAUAACAAAAACUACACAUAAGCAUAUUCAAAAGACGAAGCAAACCAAAAAACCCCUAGAAACCAAAAGUCUAAAAACCCAACCCAACCAAAAUAUAACACUACAAACCUCACAGUCAACACACCAACCUUAAAACAAGCAAAACACAGUAAGACUCCCCGCACAAGCAGAGACAAGAGGCAGAGCACAAACUAAUAGGAGGCACACCACCACACUAACCGUCGCAAACGAAAGGCAGUACUAAUCCCAUUUUUUAUUUUAAUGAUUGGAUUUGAAGUUAUAAAGCCUGAAGAUUGACAAAUUUUGUUUUCACCUAUUGAUUGACAAAUAAUUGUGGAGUCAUGAAAGCCGCCCUUCAACAAAAAUCUUGAAUCCACCACCAGAUGUCAAGGCUCAAACCAAUUCUUCCCAAUUAUAUCAACAAAACAUAACCAGCUUUUGUGGAAGGUAGACACAUAGGGGACAACAUCCUUCUUUGCUAAGAGCUUUUGUAUGAUUACCACAAGAACCCUAAGCACAAGAAGUGUACCAUUAAGGUGGAUCUUAGGAAAGCGUAUGACACAAUGGAGUGGGGAUUUAUCAUUUCCAUGUUGAAGAGCAUUGGGUUGCACUCCACUUUCAUUGGCUUGAUUAAAGAAUGCAUUUCUUCUCCCUCUUUCUCAGUUAGUAUCAAUGGGGAACUUGUGGGAUAUUCCCAAAGCUCAAGAGACCUAUGACAAGGAGACCCUCUUUCUCCUUAUCUCUUUGUUAUGGCCAUGGAUAUUUUAUCUUGUAUGCUUUCAGGACUCAAGGAAAAGCCCUCUUUCAGCCACCAUUGGAAAUGUAAGGCAAACAACAUCACUCACCUUUGUUUUUCCAAUGAUCUAAUGUUAUUAUGUAAGGCAGACAUAUCCUCCAUUCAAAGAAUUAAGAAUGCCCUUGAUGAUUUCCAAAGAUGGUCAGGUAUUUGCCCAAACCAUGCCAAGAGUAGUGCACUUUUCUUGGGUAUAAAUGAGAUGGAAAAAGAAGCUAUCAUUCGUGUGCUAAACUUUAAGGAGGGUACGCUACCUUUUAAGUAUCUUGGAGUUCCUAUUAGUUCCUCAAAGCUCUCAGUGGAAUCUUGCUCUACUCUUAUAGAGAAAAUUAUAGGAAGAAUCAACUCUUGGACUUAUAGAUUUGCAUCUUAUGCAGGGAGAUUGGUGCUAAUCAAAUCGGUGCUCUUUAGAAUACAAAUUUAUUGGUCUUCCAUUUUCAUUCUUCCCUCCAAGGUGUUCAAGAAGAUUGACUCUUUACUUCAUGCUUUUCUUUGGGAUGGCACUAAUAUGAAUAAACAUAGAGUUAAAGUAGCUUGGGAGGAGGUUUGUGUCCCCAAGAAGGAAGAGGGUUUUGGCUUGUUGAAAUGUAAAGAUUGGAAUAAGGCAAUGAUGUUGAGGCAUAUAUGGAAUCUGAAUCUCAACUACAAACGUUCCCUUUGGGCUGUUGGAUAUGGGAAAAUAAGCUCAAGUGGAAAAAUCCUUAGGAGAUAAAACCUAAUGUUGAUAGCUCUUGGCUUUGGUGUAAGUUGCUGAACCUAAGGGGGCUUGCUAGGAAUAAGAUAAAGAAGAUUAUUGGCAAUGGAGAAAACACCCUCCUUUGGUAUGAUUAUUGACAUCCUAAAAGCCCUCUCGUGGAAAAUUUUAAUGUAGUUAUUCUUUAUGCCACAGGUAUGAACAAUAAGCUAAGGUAAAAAAGAUCAUUAACGAUGGAAAUGGAAUUGGCCACCCACAAACACUAAAAAGCUUAUUGAGAUUUAUUUCAAAUCCUAUAAGUGGUGAAGAUCAGGUUGUGUGGAUACCUAAUGCUAAAGGAAAUUUCACUACUCAUUCAGCUUGGGAAGAGCUUAGAAGUAAGAAGGAGAAGGUUGCUUGAUAUGGGCUAAUUUGGUUCAAGAAGCACAUCCCUCGUCAUUCUUUCAUUGCUUGGCUAGCCAUUAAAGGCAAACUCAUGACAAGAGAUAAGCUCCUCAAGUUCAGCUUUUGCUCCUCAAACAUAUGCCUCCUGUGCAACAGAGAAAAUGAAGACAUUAAUCAUCUUUUCUUUAGUUGUUCAAUAAGCAAAGCCAUUUGGAACUCCAUUCUUAGCUUACGUCAAUGAGUUUAUACCCCUCUUCCUUGGAAGGAGUAUGUAACUCAAUGCUCUAGAAGGUGGAAUUCUACUAGCUUGAGUAAUACACUUUGUAAAUUGAGUUUUGGAGCAACCAUUUAUUGCAUUUGACAAGAAAGGAAUAAUCUAUGUUUUGGUAAAGGUAGGCGUGACAAGGAGAUCAUUAUAAAGCUCAUCAAGGGGAUGGUUAGAGAGAAAUGUUCUUCCCUAAGCAAAGUCCCUUCCUUGGCUGAAAAUUAUGGUUAUUUAAGGAUAUGGGUACUUUAUUGUUUUCUUA